AUUACUUUGGCAGAAUAGUGUUUUAAAUUUAGAAUUUAAUUAUGUAUAAUAAUUUAUACAAGUAAUA
rnacentral:tRNA from 1 species